rnacentral:rRNA from 1 species
AUACGAAAGGUGCAAGCGUUGUUCGGAUUUACUGGGCGUAAAGAGAGUGUAGGUUGUUUAUUAAGUCGGAUGUGAAAUCCCGGGGCUCAACCUCGGAACUGCAUUCGAUACUGGUAGACUAGAGUUCGGGAGGGGUAAGCGGAAUUCCGUGUGUAGCAGUGAAAUGCGUAGAUGUACGGAGGAACACCUGAGGCGAAGGCGGCUUACUGGACCGAUACUGACACUGAGACUCGAAAGCGUGGGUAGCAAACAGGAUUAGAAACCCUAGUAGUCC